AAGUCGUAACAAGGUUUCCGUAGGUGAACCUGCGGAAGGAUCAUUAACACGUAUUCAAACGUUAAAACAACCCUGUGAACCUUAAUUCGUGUUCUUGCAGGCAGCUAAAACAGCCAUCCCUCGUAAAACAGGCGCUAAAGAAUUACAGAUAUUGAUUUGAGGGAAUUCUGUACCCUCGAGCAAUCACCUGUCUGAAAGCGUCAAGUGAUCAAUGUUCAGGGUAGCGCAGUCAACGAUCGCUGUAGGUCCACACGACCGGCGACCGGGGCGGCGGCGAAAGCCCCUACGUCACACCAUGCACCCUCCGGGACUUGGCGAAAUCUGACUCCGUCAUAAAUCGAACAACUGUUAACAAUGGAUAUCUUGGUUCUC
rnacentral:misc_RNA from 1 species